AUUGCACGCUGGCGGCAGGCUUAACACAUGCAAGUCGAGCGAGCGGCGGACGGGUGAGUAAUGUCUGGGAAACUGCCUGAUGGAGGGGGAUAACUACUGGAAACGGUAGCUAAUACCGCAUACCAUCAGAUGUGCCCAGAUGGGAUUAGCUAGUAGGUGGGGUAAUGGCUCACCUAGGCGACGAUCCCUAGCUGGUCUGCGAGGAUGACCAGCAAAACUGGAACUGAGACACGGUCCAGCCGCCUACGGGAGGCAGCAGUGGGGAAUAUUGGACAAUGGGCGAAAGCCUGAUGCAGCCAGGCCGCGUGUGUGAAGAAGGCCGUCGGGUUGUAAAGCACUUUCAGCGAGGAGGCGUUACUCGAAGAAGAAGCACCGGCUAACUCCGUGCCAGCAGCCGCGGUAAUUC
rnacentral:rRNA from 1 species